UUAAAGUUUUAUUCUAACUUAUUGGAUUGAUCUAGUAUUUUAAUACAUGUAAGAUUUAACUUGUAGUAAGUAUCCUUAUAUAGAUUGUUAAGUUUAAUCGCAGUAUUUAAUUUUGAUUAUUAGUUGAGGCUUGAAUCAGUGAUUAUUAUUAGUAAUAACAAAGCUUGUGCCAGCAGUUGCGGUUACACAAGCAUUACAAUUAAUUUUAAUAUAACAAGAAUAUAAAUAUUUCUUUUACUGUAUACUGGGCUUUUUAGGUGAAAUUUUAAGUUUCGGUUAAGUUAUAUUUUUUGAUAUUUUGAAACCAUUCUAUAAACUAGGAUUAGAUACCCUAUUAUUAUUGGCGUGAAUUUGUUGUUAGAUUAGUAUUAGCUAUGUUCUUGAAAAUUAAAGAUUUUGGCGGUAUCUUAGUCCAUUCAGAGGAGCCUGCCCUGUAAUUGAUGCUCCACGAGUUACUAUACUUUUCCUUUUAGUUUGUAUAUCGUCGUGAUAGGAAAUUCUCAUAAGAUAAAAAUUUUCGUAGUCUUUAUUAUGGUAAAUAUCAGAUCAAGGUGCAGUUAAUGGAGAAGUUGAGGUGGGCUACAAUAAUUAUAUUUAGACGGAUAAGUUUAUUCAAAUUCUUUGAAGGUGGAUUUGAUAGUAAUUUGUAUUUUAAUUAUAUAAAUGAUUAUGGCUCUAGGAUAUGCACAUAUCGCCCGUCGCUUUCAAUCAAGUUGAAAUAAGUCGUAACAAAGUAGGCUUAUUGGAAAAUGUGCCUAGAAUGCA
rnacentral:ncRNA from 1 species